UGGAAGCUGCAGGCUGCGGGGCUCACUGCCCCUCACACCCGCCCCGUGCUCCCCGGCUCGCUCCCGCUCGUGUACAGCAUCUGAUCUCGGUGCUAAGCCGGCAGCUGUGGGGCCUUAGGAGACCCCCACCCCGGGUGGCCACGCUCCCUUCCCCUCCUGCCCAUCUUGCAAAGCCACUAGAGGGGGGACGGGGGGGAGGCAGACCCCUCCCUCCGCAUCAACGGGGGCCUCUGAAGCUGGACCAGGGAGGGGGUCCAAACUGCUGGCUUCUGGGUGAGGCCCGAGUAGAAUCCUCAGCCCCCUCCCCAGGGCCGCCAGGGCACCCCAGCAUCGAAGGCCCCGCAGUUCUUGACCAAAGGUGCCACGAGAACCUGCUGCGGCAGUGUGUGCCCCGGUGUGUUGUCCCGCGUGCUCGUGCAGGGGCCACGCGUACAUGGGUGCUCGGCCCCUCCCUCGCCUCGGUAGGGCCUGGGGCCCUGGCUCCAGUCUGGCCAUUGUGGGGCUGGCCCAGAGGUGCCCCCUGCCCCGCUCCUGGGGGUGGUCCGCCCGACCUGUGGGCCUCUGCUGCUCUGGGGGCUGAGCUGGACAGGGGAGACCCCCAUCCCAAGGCUCCCGUUCCUCCCGGGUGUUUGGGGAGGACAGAAAGGGCCUGGAAGCCGUCCCCGAGGGUCUCCCGGCAUCUCCCACCUGCUCCGUGUGCUUCUGACCGCUGAGGCUCUCAGCCCAGCCGGCUCGGCGCAGCGGGAGGCCUCGGCUGCCCUUGGCAGCUUCUGCUGCCUUCUGCUGCCGGGGAGCCGAGCCACGCAUGCCAGCGCAGAGACCAAAGCCCCAGCUGCAGGGCAGGCGUCAGGAGGGGACUCGGUCUCCCGCUGGCCCCCUGGGCCACUGCCCAGGCCUCAGCUGGGCGUGGCCGGAGCCAGCAGCCCUUGGUACCUCUGCCCGGAGGGCGAAGGCAGGAGGGGGAGCCCAGCAGGUCGCAAGCACCUGUGGUCCCAGGAGGGGCGGACACUCUGUCCUGAAGCUUCCUUGGGGGGCUGCCCGCUGCCCCUGGCCCCAGGCUGUAGACCCUGUGCGGGGGCCCCUGGCAGGCAGGAGGGCCCCCUCCCCGUCCCGCCCUUUGUGUUCCAGAGACCAUAGCAAUGUGUUUUCCCGAGAGUCCGUGUCAUUCGUGACUUUUUUUGUAAAGAGUUGUGUUUUCAGAGGUGAUUUUAUGACAGGAAAGUGAAAGAAUUAGUUUUGCAAAAAAAAAAAGCAAAAAAAGAGGAAAAAAAAGAAAUAGACAAAAAUAUUG
rnacentral:lncRNA from 1 species